rnacentral:misc_RNA from 1 species
GUCUGAUGUGUAUUCUAUAUAUACCGGUAACCAGUAAGAAAUUAAUUACAACCAUAUAAAACCAUAUAGAACUCAAUUUAUAUACGUUGUUAUCAAGUAAAUCCCUUAGAAAUGUACUAGAAAGAUUAUACUCAUUACAAUGAAAUUCUUUAAUCAAAUACUCUGAUCGUGCUAGAGAAUGAGCUCUGCAUGAUACCACAAGUAAAAUUUGGAAUUGUUGUCCAUUAUAAACAAAAGCAUUGAACCGGUUAUCUACCCGUGUUGUGAUCAUUAUAUGAACGCAGUGCCUUGUAAUGAGUUACUUGUGAUACUGUGGAACUUGUAACUAAGGGCAUUAGUCAUGAGUUGUGGCUUCUUGUCCACCAUGUCUUGAUUUAAUUAAUAAUACUGCUGUUUUCUUCAUGUUGUGUCAUUUCAUAUGCAAUUUUUAUUGUCCCAGUUAAUACAUGUCUUACCGCGAUGUUUGUCAUAAUUGUCACUACAUUUACAAAUGUUCAACACUAUCUGUAUUAGGAUAACUCAUAGUACUAUUAUCUAAUAAGAAUUUUUCAAACUUCAAAGUAAUUUGCUCUAUAUUUUAAUUUUAGUUAAAAUUAUCCUGUCUUUUGCAUGCGGAGAUUUUUGUCUCUGCAGAAUUUUUCGUGAUUUUGUUAGAAAUUUUUUUAUCAAAUUUAAAUUUCGAAAUGAGAAAUAAUAAAGAAUAAUUUUCAGAUUUUAAUUAAUAGUAUUUUAGUAUGUAAAUAUACAUUAUUUUGUAUCUUUGAUAUAUAUAUUGUUAUCUACACACGAAGCAUACAUAAAAAAUGAUUCAUUUGUCUCCCCUGUACAGUUGUCCCUUGUUGUACGGUUGGAUUGUUUUGUUCGGUAUACUGACUGUUGUUAGUUGUUUUAUCUGGGACUGUCACAGUCUUCUGUUUGUCACAUUGACAAUUGAUUUUUAUCAAUAGGUAUAUGACUUAUUUGUUAUAUUUGUUAUUCAAUAUACACACAGUGGUUGUUACAUAAAAGUUUGAUUAGGUAAUCAAUUAGGAAUGAUUACAGUGUUGUAUAAUAUCUAUAGUUACAAUUCUGACAUCAUAUGUUAUUGAAUUGUUAAGUUGUGCUGGAAUGUAAACUAUGCUAGACUCCUGUUUAGGAAAGUGCUUCACUAUUUUAGAAACUCAUGGUCUUUCUCACAUAUACAUAUACUUAUUCAUUGAGAGCGGCCGUUGCUUUUCAUUAAGGAAUUUAAUAAAAAUUGAUUCAAGUUUAAUUUGUACAAUGUCAAAUAUAGGUAAAUGUAAUUUUGCAUAUAUAAAUGUAUGUACACAUUAUCAAUUUAUACACUGUAUUUUCUGUUCAGAUUUUUGUUUUAUUUGGUUUUUAUAUACUUUUUAAUAUUACAAAUCUUUGACCUAUGUUAAUUAUAUAUGUAUAUAUAGAUAUA